UGUGGGCCACGGGUUGUGUAAUGGACACCAAAACAAACGUGUCUACCUUUGAGUUUGAUGUAUGUACACCAUAUAUUUCGUAGAUGUUAAUCGCAUAGAAUUAGAGUGAACUCAGUGUGAUAGACAAGAUCUUCAGGCCUGAUAUCAAGAAAAAAUGGAAAAGCCAGUUCACCUAGCCUGUGUGAGGAGUCAGGGGCCAUGUGAUCUGCAGCACUGCCUCAUUCCCACACAGCUAUUGAAGGAGAUCAGCGGAAAUGUUGGAUCCUAUGUUCACAUCCGGCUCUCUGAGGGAUUCUCCUUGGUGUGUCGUGCAGUGCCUGUCCCAGAGUCCUACUGUGAUAUGGGCUACCAGCUUAUUGCUUGUGACUGCGUUUCUCAUAGGUCUUCUGACUGCGAUGCAAGGUCUGCUGUCGAGAGCUAUACAUUACAAGUAGCUGACAUUAUCCCCCUGAAAACUGUGAAAUUGAAAUCCAUUUCAGUAACGGUUAUAUUAAAGACAGUAGAAGAUGUACUGAAAUAUAGAAAAAAUAGUGACAGCUAUAAAUAUUCUAUCCAAGACUUAAUGCAUCUCUAUGGUGUAAGGAAAGAGAAUCAGAUAAACUGUGCAAGCAACCCUCUUGCAAGGGUAUUAGGUGUCUCUCGGGUCAUAGUGGAAGACUGCUGUGUCUCGCAUCAUGAAGUGGGGACUGUGACCCCAGAUACAUUGAUGGAUAUUGUUGGGAUUGAAAGUGAGGACAGGAGAAGUAGGACUAUCCAUGAUCAAGUGGCACUUGGAGGUCUAGACAAAGUUCUCAAGUAUUUGCGAAGGUUGAUGGUCGAGCCAUGGUUGAGGAAGGAGGAAUUUGCCAGAGCUGGUGUCCAAUAUCCCUCAGGAGUGUUGUUAAUUGGCCCUCCAGGAUGUGGCAAAACAUCCUUGGUGAGGCAGCUCUGUGCAGAAACUGGAACAUGUCUAGUUGCAACAGCUGGAGCAGAGUUAGUCAGUCCAUAUGAGGGAGAAAGUGAAACUAACUUUAUAAAAAUGGCACAGCGUGCACAGUCUCUGAGUGAAGAAGGACCAUGUCUGUUCUUCAUAGACGAAAUUGAUUCCUUGUGCCCGAUGAGAACAAAAGAGUCAAGUCUCCAUCAGCUCAGACUCACAGCCCAGGUAUUGUUGACUUUAGACAAGUGUAGGGUGUGUUCAAAUUUAAUGAUUAUGGCAGCCACCAAUCGACCUUAUGAUUUAGACCCAUCUCUAAGAAGAUCGGGUCGGUUUGAAACUGAGAUUCUGCUGAAUGUUCCUUCAGCAAGUGACAGAGAAAGCAUCUUAGCAGUCCACAGUGCCAACCUGCUGCCUGAUGACUGUGCUGGUUUGGCUAAGGUUGCCCACGCGACACCAGGCUUUGUAGGAGCGGACUUGCGAGCACUGGUGGAUGCAACAAGGGCAAAAAUAGGAGAGGAGCUGAUAAAUGCUGAAGCAAUAACUGACAUAAUGCUAGAAUGUGCUGCAAAAAUUACACCCAGCAUCCACAAGACCUUGAGUUUCAUCACAGCAAAACCAACAGCAUCACCCAUAGGAGGACUGCAAGAGGUGAAAGAAAAGCUUCAGCAGAUAUUCACUCAUCACACAGAGUUUGCAGAAGCAUACAGGAAGCUAAAGCUGAAGAGGCCCAGAGGAGUGUUACUGUAUGGGCCAAGAGGAUGUGGCAAAACACGUCUCGUUGCCUCCCUAGCCUCAGCAAGGGGCUGCACCUUCAUUACGGCCAAUGCGUCACACCUUUUGUCCCCUUUUGUUGGUGACUCUGAGAAGCGCAUUGCUGCUCUCUUCUACGCUGCCCGCCUUGCCCAGCCUACCAUACUUUUUAUUGAUGAAAUUGACGGGAUCUUUGGGUCUAGAGAGAAGAAUGAAAGCAGUGUUCACAUCAGCAUUUUGAAUGAAUUACUACAAGCAAUGGAUGGAGCAGAUGUACAGGCCACAAGUCUGCAGGGGGCCUCCCAGCUGACAAACAGCAGUACGAGUGACCAGGAUGGAGUUUUGGUGUGUGCUGCAACCAACAACCCAGGAAGCCUUGACCCAGCACUUUUGCGUCCUGGGAGAUUUGACCGCCUGGUCUAUGUUCCUCCUCCGGACCGUGAGGCACGCUACGACAUCCUAAGACUCAAAACCAAGAAAUUAGGAGUUGUAUCAGAGAAUUUCUUGGAAUCCCUAGCAGAUAAAACAGAAGGCUUUACUGGAGCAGAAUUGGAAAAUAUUGUAAUGAGGGAACUCCUGGGUUCAAGUGGCAGAACAGAGAAAACGUGCCAAGGAAAUUUGGCUUUGCGGCGACACCAGGGUUGAGGGUAAACCUCAGUACCUCAUAGUUGCCUUACAAAUUUUUACAGGCUUUCUUUACUGACGAGAUGAUGAACAUCAUCAUUGAAGAAAGAACAAGUACGCCGAAUGUCAUCCAGGUCUCGUGAAAGGCCACAAGCAGAGUUGGAUGCCCAGUACUCCAAAUCUGGAUAGCACUACGCCUGAUGAUGGGCAUAUCCCCAAAGCCUUGACAAGCUCAACACUGGUCAAGGGAUGAGCUUCACAAGAAUCUUUUCUUUUUUUUUAUAUACAUUGGUCAAGAGAUAGGUUUGACCAGAUAUCCUCCUCACUCCACUUUGCCAGCGACAAUGCUCAAGAUGAUAACAAUAGACUGUGGAAGCUCGGCCGAAUAGUCGAGCUUCUGCAGCAACAAAUGUAGAAGUGUUUUUAUUCCACCACAAACCAUAACUGUUGACAAGAGCCUUUGGAAAUGUAAAGGCUGCUUGAGAUUUGUGACUUAUAACCCCUCCAAACGAGCUCGGUUUGGCCUCAAGAUAUAUAGACUGUGUUUCGUCUGGCCCAACAUGUAGUUAUACUUGUAAUUUCAAGUUUUACACAGGCCAGGACAAAAGGGAGUUACUGGCAUCACACAAGGCCGUAGCUGACUUGAUGGAGUCUCCCAACAUUCUUGACAAAGGUCACAUUUUAUACAUUGACAACUGGUAUACUUCCCCUACACUGUUUCACUGGCUGUAGGGAAGAAAGACUAAUGCCUGAAGAACAGUGCGGGCAAAUAGGAAGUUCAUGCCCCAGGAUUUCCAAGGAAAACUGAAGAUGAGGAGCACAGCAACUGGCAUGCUGAGUAUCAAAUGGAUGGACAAAAAAACGAUCCAUAUGUUGUCCACCAUACAUAAUUCUGAAAUAGCGGAUACAGACAAAGUCAACAAGAAGGGAGAUAAGGUCAUAAAGCCAGUGGCAAUAAUUGAAUAUAAUCAAGGCAUGAAAGGUGUGGAUGUUGGGGAUCAGCUGGCAACAUCAUAUCUUGCAGUAAGGCAGAAUUUGAAAUGGUACAAAAAGGUGUUAAUGUACCUGUUCGACUGAGCAAUGGUAAAUUAGUUCCUCCUAUUCAAGGAAGUAGGUAGGAACAUUACACAACAGCUCGUAUUCCAGCAGGAGGUGGUGAGAGGCCUCCUCCAUGAAUAUCUUCCAAAUGCCCCACAUUACAGUGGCCGAGGACGUCCAGCAGUAACAAAUGCAACCCUCCGCCUUCAAGGCAAGAAUCCUCAUGUCAUCAGAGAAACUGAGGGAAAAAAUACAAGCACUGCCAUGUGUGUUAUACACAUGGCAAGAGAAAAAUGACGAGGGCCCAGUGCCUUAUAUGCAAAGUGCCUCUUUGUGUAUUUGAAUGCUUUGAGGAUUAUCACAAUUAGAUAAAUUAAUGAUGUGGUAGUGUACAAAUGUGUAUAAAGUUUGUUUACAUGCAAAUACAUGUAUAUGUUUCA
rnacentral:misc_RNA from 1 species